AAAGUGAGAAAAGUAGUGACAACUUGAAGCUGGUAUUUGAGGAAGAAGGAGAACUUCUGAACCCAUGAAGAGAGUAUACCCGGUUUGGGUGGGCAGGACUCCAAAGCCUUUAGGAUCAAUGGACCAGAGAAAUGAAAAUGCAACAAGAACAGCUGUGGGGAAAAGGCAGAAGGCAGCACUGAGAAGUGAAGGAAUAUUUGGGAGGAUCAGAAGCUUGGUCCUGAUUUUGCCAUCAACAGGAACUUGAUGACUUCAAGGGAGUCCCCAAACCCUGGGUUUCUGUUUUCUCAACUCUAACAUGAGGGGCUAGAUGCAUCUGGUUUAGUUAGUCUCCAUGAUGGUUUAGUUCGUCUCCAUGAUCCUGUGAAUUUCAGAUGUUGAAAAUCUUUGGAAAAGCCCUGAAAGAUGAACAGUGGUCUCAAAUAGUCAAGACCCCCUGCUGGGAGGAGCUAUCCUGCUCUUUGGAAGAAAUGGGC
rnacentral:antisense_RNA from 1 species